rnacentral:rRNA from 1 species
UACGUAGGGGGCAAGCGUUGUCCGGAAUGAUUGGGCGUAAAGGGCGCGUAGGCGGCCCGGUAGGUCUGAAGUGAAGGUCCUGGUUUUAAGUUGGGAAUUGCUUUGGAUACCGUCGGGCUUGAGUGCAGGAGAGGUAGUGGAAUUCCCAGUGUAGCGGUGAAAUGCGUAGAGAUUGGGAGGAACACCAGUGGCGAAGGCGACUUACUGGACUGUAACUGACGCUGAGGCGCGAAAGUGUGGGGAGCAAACA